GCAGUGGUAGUUCAGUGGUAGAAUUCUUGCUUUCCGUGUAGGAGACCUGGGUUCAAUUCCUGGCCAGCA
rnacentral:tRNA from 1 species